AUUGAACGCUGGCGGCAGGCCUAACACAUGCAAGUCGAGCGGAUGAAGGGAGCUUGCUCCUGGAUUCAGCGGCGGACGGGUGAGUAAUGCCUAUGAAUCUGCCUGGUAGUGGGGGAUAACGUCCGGAAACGGGCGCUAAUACCGCAUACGUCCUGCGGGAGAAAGUGGGGGGUCUUCGGACCUCACGCUAUCAGAUGAGCCUAGGUCGGAUUAGCUAGCUGGUGGGGUAAAGGCCUACCAAGGCGACGAUCCGUAACUGGUCUGAGAGGAUGAUCAGUCACACUGGAACUGAGACACGGUCCAGACUCCUACGGGAGGCAGCAGUGGGGAAUAUUGGACAAAGGGCGAAAGCCUGAUCCAGCCAUGCCGCGUGUGUGAAGAAGGUCUUCGGAGUGUAAAGCACGUUAAGGUGGGAGGAAGGGCAGUAAGUUAAGACCUUGCUGUUUUGACGUUACCAACAGAAUAAGCACCGGCUAACUUCGUG
rnacentral:rRNA from 1 species